rnacentral:lncRNA from 1 species
CGAACCACCUAAUCAAAUGAGUAAAUUAUUCAACCUCGCUUAUGCUCCCGAUUCUCGUUUCUUGGAUGCCGCACAGCAUCCUCGAUCGAUAAAAAAAAAUUUGCAGACUCUGUCUUCAAUGACUCACUAUCAUUAUCAUUAGCAUCAGUGUUGUCAUUGUUGUUAUUAACGAGAACGGGCUCCUAUUCAGGAAGAUUAUUCAACCCCUUUCCUAGUUUAUCUCCUAGAUCCGCACCCUUCCUGAAUUUUUGUUUGUGGGUUUAUGAGAGAGAACAAUUCCGCUUGGCGUAUAGAACAAACCUUCACAGAGGUCUCACAUAAUGACAUGGCAAGAAUGAAAAAAAUGAAGGUCAGAUAACGAGGCAGCUUUGAUUCUUCUCUUUUAAUUUCUCCCUAAUUCAAACAAAACCCUUCCCAACCUCUUCAUCCCCAUCUCCACCUUCCCUCACUAAUGAUAGUAGGAAAACGCCGUCGAAAUUAGCUUCGUCUCCGACCAACAACAAAGUCAAUGAAGAAGAAAAAGUGUGAACCGUGAAGUCGAAGAUUUGUCGACAUUGAAGAAGUUCGAACCUUGCUUCGAUCUUCGACCACAGUGAAGCAACCACCACGCCCAACUGAAGAAGACACCUCUUUCCGUCUAUACAUCUCAAGUUAGUGCUUCACAUCUAAUCUUUGAUCGUAUGCUGAAAUUUCUUUCACAACUAUGAAUUCACAGAACGAAAUUGCAAAUAACAGUUUGCGAAAAAUAAUGGAAGGAAUUAAAUGGUUAUUUAUUGUUUUUGUAAUUAAAAGUUGAAGAACAAAGGAGAUUGAUUAGAGAAAUCAAAUAUUGUUAUAGAACUGCAAUUUUAUGGAUUGAGAUAUUCGAAAUUGAAGAACAAAUGGGAUUGACAGAUUCAAAAUUGACAUUAGAUUUAUCGUAAGCUUAGUUAGAUAUAUUGUGGAACUGCAAUUUGAAAAAAAUUGAAAUGACAAUUUAAUUAUAGUGAUAAUGUUUAUGUUACCGAUUAUAGUUUAUUACAUAAAUUGAUAAUUUUAUUUAGGUGGAUGUUCACCAUCUCAGCAUGAGAGGAAGGAAUGUCGGAAUAUGUCACAGUUAUCGAAGCAAUUGACACUCAUUCGGGAAAUGCACGAGAAAGAGUCAUUGCCCCUGGUGUCCACAUGGAUUUCAGGAAUGUUUAGAGGUUGAAAAACAGACACUUAACAAAGGGCGAUUAUUCAACACUUGCAGUAACAACCGUGGUUUUUUCAAUUGGGUGGUGGAAGAAGAUUCAAGUGAACAAUGUAGCGAUGUCAACAAGCGAUGACUAUUGCGAAAAAUGAGGAAGUUCAAGAUUUGCCAAGUAUGCUCGAAACUAUAGCCCGAAUAAUCGACAAAUGAAACGUCCAGGUAUCAUUGCAUGUGACAUUCCGCAAGGGAAAACAAUGCUUGGAAUUGAAUGGGAAACAAAGAGGACUGGCUUGAUUAUUAGUAUUUCCGUCAAUGGGUUGUUUGGGUUAUAUUUGUAAUUUAAAGACUUGUGUAGCGUUAUUUUAUAUUUUGUAUCAAAUUAGAAUUUAUGUAAACUGCAUCUUAUGUUUCUUCGUUACAUUUUGUAAAUUCUAUGUGUUUGUUCGUAAACGAUGAAUGGUAG